rnacentral:misc_RNA from 1 species
GAUGAAGAACGCAGCGAAACGCGAUAAGUAAUGUGAAUUGCAGAAUCCAGUGAAUCAUCGAAUCUUUGAACGCACAUUGCGCCCGCCAGCAUUCUGGCGGGCAUGCCUGUUCGAGCGUCAUUUCAACCCUCGACCUCCCCUUGGGGAGGUCGGCGUUGGGGACCGGCAGCACACCGCCGGCCCUGAAAUGGAGUGGCGGCCCGUCCGCGGCGACCUCUGCGCAGUAAUACAGCUCGCACCGGGACCCCGACGCGGCCACGCCGUAAAACACCCAACUUCUGAACGUUGACCUCGAAUCAGGUAGGACUACCCGCUGAACUUAAGCAUAUCAAUAGCGGAGGA